rnacentral:lncRNA from 1 species
AUUUAUGAACUCUAAUGCACUUAGGGUCCACUCUAACUCGUUCAAUUUCGUGUUCCGUUCGCUUUGACGGAACUCGGUACGAUUUACGAGGGAUGUGGUAUGUUACAGGAGAGCUAUGUACUUGAUGAACAUGUAUUCAUUUUGGAGAAAAAUGUAAAUGUAAAAGAAUGUGAUGUAAUUGUAUACAAAAUGCAAAUGUGAUGUAAU